AUGAUGAGACUUCCGUACCGGGGUAUCCCGGGCGGCUCGGUGAGAACCACGGAGGGGUAGAACGGCCCAUGG
rnacentral:ncRNA from 1 species